rnacentral:lncRNA from 1 species
GGGUUAGAGGUGUUACAACAAAUUUUUAUGGGAGGAUUUCUAUACUCUUUUUUUAAGUUUCUCCUCGUUCUUUUCCUUUUCUUUCUUUUCUUUUCUUUUUUUCAUGAAUUUUUAUCGGGAAACCCGGGAACGUACUUGAUUUAGAUUUCAGUAGCUUUGGUACCAACUGAUGCGAACUCGAUUACGAGUUGAUUCACAAUUUAAGUGCUUUGAUCGUCAAAAUAGGUACUUGCACGAAAUUGGGUGAAUUAUGGAACAAAGGAUAAAACAAAGGAUAGGUUUUGGAUAUAACUUGCGAAUAUAGACAACCAAAAAAGAAUC